GGUCUAUUAGCUCAGUUGGUUAGAGUGGCAUGUUAAUAACGUGAAGGUCGCAGAUCCGAAACCUUCAUGGGCCA
rnacentral:tRNA from 1 species